rnacentral:rRNA from 1 species
CGGCGUGCUUAACACAUGCAAGUCGAACGCUGAAGCCUAGCUUGCUGGGUGGAUGAGUGGCGAACGGGUGAGUAACACGUGAGUAACCUGCCCCCUUCUUUGGGAUAACGCCCGGAAACGGGUGCUAAUACUGGAUAUUCACUGGUCUUCGCAUGGGGGUUGGUGGAAAGGUUUUUUCUGGUGGGGGAUGGGCUCGCGGCCUAUCAGCUUGUUGGUGGGGUGAUGGCCUACCAAGGCUUUGACGGGUAGCCGGCCUGAGAGGGUGACCGGUCACAUUGGGACUGAGAUACGGCCCAGACUCCUACGGGAGGCAGCAGUGGGGAAUAUUGCACAAUGGGCGAAAGCCUGAUGCAGCGACGCCGCGUGAGGGAUGGAGGCCUUCGGGUUGUAAACCUCUUUCGCUCAUGGUCAAGCCGCAACUUGGGGUUGUGGUGAGGGUAGUGGGUAAAGAAGCGCCGGCUAACUACGUGCCAGCAGCCGCGGUAAUACGUAGGGCGCGAGCGUUGUCCCGGAAUUAUUGGGCGUAAAGGGCUUGUAGGCGGUUGGYCGCGUCUGCCGUGAAAUCCUCUGGCUUAACUGGGGGCGUGCGGUGGGUACGGGCUG